rnacentral:rRNA from 2 species
CUAUACAUGCAGUCGAGCGAAUCGAUGGGAGCUUGCUCCCUGAGAUUAGCGGCGGACGGGGGACGACACGUGGGCAACCUGCCUAUAAGACUGGGAUAACUUCGGGAAACCGGAGCUAAUACCGGAUACGUUCUUUUCUCGCAUGAGAGAAGAUGGAAAGACGGUUUACGCUGUCACUUAUAGAUGGGCCCGCGGCGCAUUAGCUAGUUGGUGAGGUAAUGGCUCACCAAGGCGACGAUGCGUAGCCGACCUGAGAGGGUGAUCGGCCACACUGGGACUGAGACACGGCCCAGACUCCUACGGGAGGCAGCAGUAGGGAAUCUUCCGCAAUGGACGAAAGUCUGACGGAGCAACGCCGCGUGAACGAAGAAGGCCUUCGGGUCGUAAAGUUCUGUUGUUAGGGAAGAACAAGUACCAGAGUAACUGCUGGUACCUUGACGGUACCUAACCAGAAAGCCACGGCUAACUACGUGCCAGCAGCCGCGGUAAUACGUAGGUGGCAAGCGUUGUCCGGAAUUAUUGGGCGUAAAGCGCGCGCAGGUGGUUCCUUAAGUCUGAUGUGAAAGCCCACGGCUCAACCGUGGAGGGUCAUUGGAAACUGGGGAACUUGAGUGCAGAAGAGGAAAGUGGAAUUCCAAGUGUAGCGGUGAAAUGCGUAGAGAUUUGGAGGAACACCAGUGGCGAAGGCGACUUUCUGGUCUGUAACUGACACUGAGGCGCGAAAGCGUGGGGAGCAAACAGGAUUA